rnacentral:rRNA from 1 species
CCUACGGGCGGCAGCAGUAGGGAAUAUUGCUCAAUGGGGGAAACCCUGAAGCAGCAACGCCGCGUGGGGGAUGAAGGUUUUAGGAUUGUAAACUCCUUUUGUGAGAGAAGAUAAUGACGGUAUCUCACGAAUAAGCACCGGCUAACUCCGUGCCAGCAGCCGCGGUAAUACGUAGGGUGCAAGCGUUACUCGGAUUCACUGGGGGUAAAGGGUGCGCAGGCGGGCUUGUAAGUCAGACGUUAAAUCCUGUAGGUUAAAUACAGAACUGCAUUUGAAACUAUGAGCCUAGAGUGGGGGAGAGGUAGGUGGAAUUCUUGGUGUAGGGGUAAAAU